AGAGAAUCACUGGAACCUGGGAGGUGGAACUUGCAGUGAGCCAAGAUCAUGCCAUUGCCCUCCAGCCUGGGUGACAGAG
rnacentral:snRNA from 1 species